GACGAACGCUGGCGGCGUGCUUAACACAUGCAAGUCGAACGGAAAGGCCCUGCUUUUGUGGGGUGCUCGAGUGGCGAACGGGUGAGUAACACGUGAGUAACCUGCCCUUGACUUUGGGAUAACUUCAGGAAACUGGGGCUAAUACCGGAUAGGAGCUCCUGCUGCAUGGUGGGGGUUGGAAAGUUUCGGCGGUUGGGGAUGGACUCGCGGCUUAUCAGCUUGUUGGUGGGGUAGUGGCUUACCAAGGCUUUGACGGGUAGCCGGCCUGAGAGGGUGACCGGCCACAUUGGGACUGAAAUACGGCCCAGACUCCUACGGGAGGCAGCAGUGGGAAAUAUUGCACAAUGGGCGGAAGCCUGAUGCAGCAACGCCGCGUGCGGGAUGACGGCCUUCGGGUUGUAAACCGCUUUCGCCUGUGACGAAGCGUGAGUGACGGUAAUGGGUAAAGAAGCACCGGCUAACUACGUG
rnacentral:rRNA from 1 species